rnacentral:lncRNA from 1 species
UUUUAUGUGCAUGUGAUAUGAGGAUACAUUAUAGGUCAUUUUGGACCAAUGCCAUUGAACAAGUGAUUUUCCCCAACUUCAAAAAUGCAUAACUCCUUAAUAUUAAAUCCAAAUGAGGUCAAGUUUGUGACCAUUUUGAAGGACUUUCAUAGAGAAACAACUUUAUGAAGGAACAUUUCUCAUUUGUAGCUCACAUAAAAAGUUAGCCAAGGUGGAAUAAGUGAACAUAUGGCUUGACACUUCAAUUUUUUUUUGACAUGUUUGAUUUUC